UAGGGAAUAUUGGUCAAUGGGCGAGGGCCUGAACCAGCCAUGCCGCGUGCAGGAAGACGGCCUUCUGGGUUGUAAACUGCUUUUAUCAGGGAACAAAAAGGCCAUGCGUGGCAAAUUGCGUGUACCUGAAGAAUAAGCACCGGCUAACUCCGUGCCAGCAGCCGCGGUAAUACGGAGGGUGCAAGCGUUGUCCGGAUUUAUUGGGUUUAAAGGGUGCGUAGGCGGCUUGUUAAGUCAGUGGUGAAAUCCUACAGCUCAACUGUAGAACUGCCAUUGAAACUGGCGAGCUUGAGUACAGACGAGGUAGGCGGAAUUUAUGGUGUAGCGGUGAAAUGCAUAGAUACCAUAAGGAACCCCUAUAGCGAAGGCAGCUUACUAGGCUGUAACUGACGCUGAGGCACGAAAGCGUGGGGAGCGAACAGGAUUAGAUACCCCCGUAGUCC
rnacentral:rRNA from 1 species